rnacentral:misc_RNA from 1 species
UGACACCCUUACACACCGAAGUAUCGAUACACACACACACACACACACACACACAUUUGCAGAGCAUGACCACUUUCUCGCGUUCCCCAGGGGGACUACUCAUCUGCCACCCCCCUCCCCCGCCUUCUCUCCCUCCUUUGCUCUUCAACGUAGCACUUCCUCACAGUUUCUUUGUGUUGCUGCUGCAGCAGCCGACUUCAUCGCACUCACAUCCGAUACGCCCUCUCCUCGACAGACAGGAGCACACUCGCACGACGAGCAGCGGCGCACUUGCGCGUCCUUCUGCAGAUCGCCUCAAUGGGAUUUACUGCUUGGGCGGCGUGCUCCGUAUUGUUUCCACAGCUCCGCUGCGGGACCACACAUGUGCACGUUGGCAAGACCCGCUUCACGGUACACCACUGAUACGGCGAGACGGUGACGUCGACGAACGGGGAGGCAUGCUGAUCAUCCACCACGGCGCGAGCGCCGAGUAGUACACCUUCUACACUGUCGAGGCGACCUCGUCCGUCGACGGGGCUUGUCUGGACGCCAUCAUAGUGCUGCUCAUCGCGUGCUGAACCCCACGCAAGCACCCCGACUGCUUCGGCGCCAUCACGCUUUUUUUUUUGACCGUCGGGGCCUCCGCCUACUGCGCCGUUACCCUUGCUCUGCCUGUGCACGUGUCCGUGACGAACAUUGGCGGUGCUGAAUUCACCACAGAAGUCCACGUGUAGGCUGUUGGAUCGCUUUGGCCUGCUCUAUGCCGCCACGGGUGGUUGCCUGAUGACGCUCCUUCUGGAAGGGAUUGGGCACUGUUACCGCGGCUACAUCGCCGCCGCCCCCGACAGUAACGACAACGCGAACUCCUGCAAAAUCAGCACCGCGCCUCUGCACGCCACCAAACCCCGCUUCUCUCACUGUUGUGUAGCAUGCCGUCCUCGCUGUUCCUCUCGCUCUCUACUGCCUACUUCGCGCGACUGACCCUUUUCUUUGUGCGAGUGCGUAGUUCCCUGAUGAUGCGGGGCACCUCAGCACGGUGUCAGGGUCCCACACGCGCUCGGUGUGGGGGAGGCCACGCAGCCGGCAGCCUGCCGUCGGGUACGGCUGGCGGACUCUUGGCGUUUCGGCGGGCUGGGACGGCGGUGUGCGGAAGAGGCGUGCGGCCAUGACGGCGUUUGUACCCGCUCACUACGAAUCUUGCCGGCGAAGGAACGAGUAGAGGCAUCCGCCUGCUGUUUUUGUAUCUUGGCCGCGUUGCAGUGGUGCUGAACGCGAUUGUGGGCGUGGCCUGCGCUGCAUGUAGUGACAUGACGGUGGGCUGAGCGGCGCCAGACGGUGCUGGCUGGCCCGGCUCCCUUGGCACAGCCGAUGUGCAGCAGGCCUAGGUCGACUGUGGCUGCAUGCGUGUAGUGUGGUUGACCUGCCCGUGGGCGAACGGACACACGCC